rnacentral:pre_miRNA from 1 species
AUGUGGGGCAAUCUGUCUCCAAGUAAGGAUAAAUUACUCUAAGAUAAAUGAAUGUCGAUUGUUUUCCCUUCAAGUCAAGUGCCUUGU